UGUAAGCGUAUACCAAAGUUGUUGCAGUUAAAACGCUCGUAGUCGGACUUUGGCAGUUCCGGAUGUGUGCACGUCGUGUGCGCACUUCGCGGGGAUUGCUUUUGUGGUCUUGAGUAGGAUGAGGCACUUUUAUUAGUGAACGUCCUCACGCAACCACUUUUUACUGUGAGAAAAUCAGAGUGCUCAAAGCAGGCAUUUGCCGUGAAUGUAUUAGCAUGGAAUAAUAGAAUAGGACUUGGUUCUAUUUUGUUGGUUUGUUGGGACUGAGUAAUGAUUAAGAGGGACAGUUGGGGGCAUUUGUAUUUCGGUGCUAGAGGUGAAAUUCUUAGAUUACCGAAAGACAAACUGCUGCGAAAGCGUCUGCCAAGGAUGUUUUCAUUGA
rnacentral:rRNA from 1 species